AAUCUUAUGAUAAUAUGGAGUCAGCAUUCCGUGGCAAAAAGGGGAAGGCAGGCGUUUGUUUGGACCAUGGGCACCCUUGGGUGCACAACGAAAUUAAGGAGGGGAUGCACUGAAUGCCACAGCAGGCGAGUACGAGGAAUAAAAGGCAGAGUCCUCCAUAGGUUAUUAACUGAUGUAACCAACCCCAUCCCGGCAGCCAGCUAGACAGCCAGUCCCACCAGGAGGAAAAUGGGUCACUGUCAAUUUGGAUUUGAGCAGUAAGAUUCUUAAUAAUGGCUAAUUGAUUAUUGAUAGCAUGAGAGUGAUUAGAGAUAUUAAAACAACACAUUUCAUUAACUUUUUUACAACCAUAAUUAUGCAGAAGCAAAAGAUAAUUAAUAGCAGCUCUAUUUUGCAAAAUUCCAUGGCGUAACUCUGUUUGCUCUUUAUUAAGCAAUGCCACUGCAAUAGACGUGGCAUUGAGGGCUUUAACUGCUGAACAAGCCAAUUGGUUAAGAUUUCUACUAUUACUAAUUGUUAAGCCAGGUAUACCAACUAAGGAGAUGGCCAAGGCAUUAUACAUAACAUCACACAAGAAUUAGCAUUUAGGCAAGCAAUAAAAGCAGUUAACAAAUUUUUUGGGUUUUUUUCCUUUUCUUGCUGUUUCAGCAGACGCCCAGCUUGCUGUGGGAGGGACUUUGUUUGUUCCCACGUCACUGGUGCAUUGGGAGUACUGCGGCGCCGUUCUUGAGACAGCGUAACUGUUGUUGUUAAUAACUGAUUGAAAUCAGGAAUGGGAUUGUUAAGACCCUGGUGCCACGCCAUGCUGCGGGCCGCCUGUGGGGUCCUCUUUCCACGGACGGAUGUAACGGGCUGGGACCCACACAGGCCCCUCAGGUAUGGUAACGGCUGCGUAACCUCGCCCCCAGGUAAUUAAGGGGACUGGGGCACUUUACGUUGUUUCAGGGAGUUGUUGAUACGUUACUUUGGGGGGGGGGAGUUUUUCCUUGCACCGAAAGUGUUUUUGUAAACGGGAUAUAUAAUGGGUACCAUCAAAAACAAGAUUUAAAUGAUUGAUUGUAUAGAGCACAGCUAGAGCAGUCUUUUAUUGGUGGACCUUUAUAUCAACCCCGUCUCCUGGUUCCAAGGAGUGGCAGGGCUGCUAGGGUCUUUGGGUAGCGCUUCUUUACCUAUGAGAAAA